GCCAGAAAGCUAGCUCUAACAUAAUAGUUAAACCCAUAAUUUCCAUCACUACUCAUAAACCAAAACACCCAACAACUAAAUCAUUCAACCACCCCAGUACGGGCGACAGAAAAGGACCCAAAGAAGCUAUAGAUAAAGUACCGCAAGGGAAAGCUGAAAAAGAAAUGAAAAAACCCAUAAAAGCAUAAAAAAGCAGAGA
rnacentral:rRNA from 1 species